AGUAAUGACUUCUAUAUAAAACCCAGAAUGUGCUGCGAGGAGUCCAGGUAUAGUGUGGGCUCCUCACCUUGUGUUGCAGGUUCGGAUUUCACUAAAUGACAGCGAAGCGGCGCGGUACCGUACUGCGGUCAGCCUCCGGUGACGACCUCAGUUCCUGCUCAAGUGAAAAAGCUGAUCUGCAAACCUUGGGCCACGCGGCGAAGCUCCGGAGCACCGUUUGAAAGAGCAGCUGGAAGUGUCUCUCGAGGGUUCCGGCGCCUGUCCGGACGCUCGGGCGCAGGGGGCGCUCCGACAGCCACCCGGCACCGGGCCGCAGGCCUCCCUAGCCGAACGCACGGGGGCAGGAGAAGGGGCGGUUCUCCCGUGGCCUGAGAACGUCUCCAAACGGCAGCGUCCCCCGCCUGGACAACGUGUUUGUCCUUAAUUGACCUCAGAAGACAAUCAGGAACAAUGAGCACAACCUCUGAGUUGAGAGAACGUGAGCCUCAGCGCUCAACACCUACACCUUUCCUCUUUCUCUCUCUCUCACACACACACACCUCCCCAAACUGACAAACAAGAUCAAAUGUAUUGAAUAACAUCAUUUGCAUCCCAGCCCGCGCUGCCAAGAACAAAAGCCGUAAAUCACUCGCCGCUCUUGUCACACACGUUCAUACGCAAACCUGGAAGCGGCUCCACAUUUUCAUCGUACACGUCCAGGACGUCCAGCCAAGCUCACGUUAGCAGGAGGACAUCUGAGCUGUUCUGGGGGGAACAUUUCUUUUAACAUGUGACUUCAAGUGAAUUCUGCCCAAAGCUGCGCGACACUCACUGCCCGUCCCCUAGAGGGCGCCGGGAGGACAGGGCUUCGCACUCGAGGAAGGCUGGAGAGCUUUUCUUCGCUUUCACCUUUUGUAGGCCACAAGCCCUUUCCACACCAUGCCACAUUGGGAUGGGGGAGUUGGCCUCUCCUAUACAGCCGAUAAUACAGAAACUGUUUCCCUCCCCCUUCCUGGAUCAGGGCCUUGGCAUUGCAGAAGGGCUUGCGUGAUGUAGGGAUCUCCAGA
rnacentral:lncRNA from 1 species